rnacentral:lncRNA from 1 species
GGUGGUCCAGACACUAGAAGGGAUUGAACCUAUAGGCAAAAGACCUUUCAGGACCUGCAGCUGGAGAGGAUUAAGGAAGGCAUUAUUAAACCACCUUGAGCUGGAAUCUUCAUAGGAAAAACGAAGACAACACUUACAUCACAGGGUCUUUUGCAAAGAUUAAAUGGGAUAAUGGAUUUAGAUGUAAAUCCAUUUCAACAAUUUUUUCCCCAUGAUGUCAAGCUAAUAUCUUCACAGUUUUAUUUUAUUCCUUUGUGAAAGCAUUGAUGUCAGCUCAGGGCUGUUUUCUGCAGAAAAAUUCUGAUAUCCUUUAACACUGUCAGAAUGUUAUUUGUUAGUUGGAAGAUAAAAGGAUGACAGAACAACAACAUAAUGGUUUGCUG